AUUGAACGCUGGCGGCAUGCUUUACACAUGCAAGUCGAACGGUAACAGGCCGCAAGGUGCUGACGAGUGGCGAACGGGUGCGUAAUGCAUCCGAACGUGCCCCGUCGUGGUGGAUAACUACUCGAAAGAGUAGCUCAUAGCGCAUACGAUCUAACGAUGAAAGCGGGGGGCCGUAAGGCUUCGCGCGGUUGGUGCUGCCGCUGUCAGAUUAGGUAGUUGGUGGGGUAAAGGCUCACCAAGCCAACGAUCUGUAGCUGGUCUGAGAGGACGACCAGCCACACUGGGACUGAGACACGGCCCAGACUCCUACGGGAGGCAGCAGUGGGGAAUUUUGGGCAAUGGGCGCAAGCCUGAUCCAGCAAUGCCGCGUGCAGGAAGAAGGCCUUCGGGUUGUAAACUGCUUUUGUACGGAACGAAACGGCUCUGGUUAAUACCCGGGGCUAAUGACGGUACCGUAAGAAUAAGCACCGGCUAACUACGUG
rnacentral:rRNA from 1 species